CCACUUUGCUGAUGAGAUUCCAUCCUUCCGCAGUAUUUUCCGAGCAUAUUGUUGAUGCUGCAGCCGUUGUCUUCCGGGCGUAACUCGCUGGUGGAAUGACAGCCACCAACCAACGUUUAUCGGGUGCCGGAGCACUCUGCUCCUGAGAAGCCGCAGCAAAGAAUUCUCAGUUAUUGAUCUCCGUCACCCCUCGCCCGAGCGUGACGGGAUUCGGGAUUCACCUCCCUUCAUAUGAUAUUAUUAGCAUUCCAUAAAAGAUCCUUUUCGUAUCGACAAACUCUCUGGAAAUACGAAUACAUUCCUAUUACAGACUGAUAUGUGUAUUUAUUGGUAUUAAUAUUUCAACAACUAAC
rnacentral:sRNA from 2 species